UACAGAGGUCUCAAGCGUGGGUCGGAUUCAUUGGGCGUAAAGGGUGCGUAGGCGGCGCGGUAAGUCGGGUGUGAAAUCUCGGAGCUUAACUCCGAAACUGCAUUCGAUACUGCCGUGCUUGAGGACUGGAGAGGAGACUGGAAUUUACGGUGUAGCGGUGAAAUGCGUAGAUAUCGUAAGGAAGACCAGUGGCGAAGGCGGGUCUCUGGACAGUUCCUGACGCUGAGGCACGAAGGCCAGGGGAGCAAACGGG
rnacentral:rRNA from 1 species